CAAUAGCGUAUAUUAAAGUUGUUGCGGUUAAAAAGCUCGUAGUUGGAUUUCUGUCGGUGAGUAGCGGUCCGCCCUCAGCGGUUGGUACUUGUUACGCCACCGGCAUCUUCCUGGGGACUGUGUCUGCUCUUCACUGAGUGGCGCAUAAUCCAGGACUUUUACUUUGAGGAAAUAGGAGUGUUUCAAGCAGGCAUGCGCCGUGAACAUGUUAGCAUGGAAUAAUAGCAUCGGACCUCGUUCCAAAGCUGUUGGUUUCUUGGACCGAGGUAAAGGUGAAUAGGGAUUGUUGGGGGCAUUCGUAUUUAACUGUCAGAGGUGAAAUUCUUGGAUUUGUUGAAGACGGACUACUGCGAAAGCAUCUGCCAAAGAUGUUCUCAUUGAUCAAGAACGAAAGUUAGGUGAUCGAAGACGAUCAGAUACCAU
rnacentral:rRNA from 1 species